rfam:Salmo salar isolate Sally breed double haploid chromosome ssa10, whole genome shotgun sequence.
UAGCUCAGUUGGUAGAGCAUGGUGUUUGCAAUGCCAGGGGUUGUGGGUUCGAUUCCCAC